UACAGAGGAGCCAAGCGUUGUCCGGAUUGACUGGGCGUAAAGCGCACGCAGGCGGUUUGGCGCGUGGGGUGUGAAAUCUGGCCGCUUAACGGCCAGGCGCCAUCCCAUACGGCUAGACUGGAGUGAUGCAGAGGUCGGUGGAAUUGCCGGUGUAGUGGUGAAAUGCGUAGAUAUCGUAAGGAAGACCAGUGGCGAAGGCGGGUCUCUGGACAGUUCCUGACGCUGAGGCACGAAGGUCAGGGGAGCAAACGGG
rnacentral:rRNA from 1 species